UCGAUUCCCCAAAACAUGGGCUGCGCCGUCGCAAUCACUCUUGUAAUCGCCGCCGCAACGCUGAUCGUCACUCGGUUCCUCUACGUCCUGCACCGAACUGGCAAACCCCACAAACCCCGCAAACCCAGCAGUUCGAAAGGCUCAGCUCCCCAACCCCUCAGCACCCUAAUCGUAUUGGGCUCCGGAGGCCACACCGCCGAGAUGAUCAACCUGUUGUCCGUCCUUCAAAGAGACAGAUUUGCCCCCAGGUUCUACAUCGCCGCGGCCACUGACAACAUGAGUCUCCAGAAAGCUCGACUGCUCGAAGAGAACGCCGAUGAGAGUUCGAGCUCGCAGUUCAUGCAGAUCUACCGGAGCAGGGAAGUGGGUCAGUCUUAUUUCACCUCUGUUUUGACUACUUUGAUUGCUUUGGCUCAUGGGCUCUGGCUAAUGAUCAGAAUCCGACCCCAAGUGAUUCUGUGCAAUGGGCCUGGGACUUGUGUUCCACUUUGUGUAAUUGCAUUCUUAUUCAAGGUUGUGGGGAUUAGAUGGUCGUCUGUGUUUUAUGUUGAGAGUAUAGCAAGAGUGCAGAGGCUCUCCCUGAGCGGCUUGCUUCUUUACAAGUUACGGAUAGCCGACCAGUUCUUUGUCCAAUGGCCCCAGUUACAGAAGAAGUAUCCCAGAGCUCACUAUGUCGGUUGUCUCAUGUAGUUGAUCCGAUUCUGCUGCUGCUAUACGUGCUCUAACUUCCAGGUUUUCUCAAUCAAAAAGACUCCGGUAACUACUGCAGACAACAAAGAAACUGAUGAUAGCGUAUAGAUGGUGAUACGCACCCAUCGUGUAAAAUCUCCGGGCUGAGAAGUUGUUGCUUGGUGGGGGUUUUUCUUAAACUCAUGUGCAUUGUCUUCUUCAGCUUCUUCAACUGGUAUGAAACACAUAUUUGGAUUACCAUGGAGGUGGCUUCAUCUAUGAUUUAGUUCAUCAAUAAACUCUCAAUUUUUUCUCUA